rnacentral:rRNA from 1 species
GGGACACGUGGUAUCCUGUCUGAAUAUGGGGGGACCAUCCUCCAAGGCUAAAUACUCCUGACUGACCGAUAGUGAACCAGUACCGUGAGGGAAAGGCGAAAAGAACCCCGGCGAGGGGAGUGAAAAAGAACCUGAAACCGUGUACGUACAAGCAGUGGGAGCACGCUUAGGCGUGUGACUGCGUACCUUUUGUAUAAUGGGUCAGCGACUUAUAUUCUGUAGCAAGGUUAACCGAAUAGGGGAGCCGAAGGGAAACCGAGUCUUAACUGGGCGUUAAGUUGCAGGGUAUAGACCCGAAACCCGGUGAUCUAGCCAUGGGCAGGUUGAAGGUUGGGUAACACUAACUGGAGGACCGAACCGACUAAUGUUGAAAAAUUAGCGGAUGACUUGUGGCUGGGGGUGAAAGGCCAAUCAAACCGGGAGAUAGCUGGUUCUCCCCGAAAGCUAUUUAGGUAGCGCCUCGUGAAUUCAUCUCCGGGGGUAGAGCACUGUUUCGGCAAGGGGGGCAUCCCG